UACGUAGGGUGCGAGCGUUGUCCGGAAUUAUUGGGCGUAAAGGGCUCGUAGGCGGUCUGUUGCGUCAGGAGUGAAAACUCGGGGCUUAACCCCGAGCCUGCUUCUGAUACGGGCAGACUAGAGGUAUGCAGGGGAGAACGGAAUUCCUGGUGUAGCGGUGAAAUGCGCAGAUAUCAGGAGGAACACCAGUGGCGAAGGCGGCCAACUGGUCCGGUACUGACGCUGAGGUGCGAAAGCGUGGGGAGCAAACAGG
rnacentral:rRNA from 1 species